ensembl:snRNA U6 U6 spliceosomal RNA
ACGCUCACUUUGGCAGCACACUUACUAAAUUUGGAAUGAUACGGAGAAGAUUAGUGUGGCCCCUGAACAGAACAAGGAUGACAUGCAAAUUCAUGAAGUGUUCCAUAUUUUA